rnacentral:rRNA from 1 species
AACGCAUAGGAAUCUACCCGGUAGUGGGGGAUAACCUGGGGAAACCCAGGCUAAUACCGCAUACGUCCUACGGGAGAAAGGGGGCUUAGGCUCCCGCUAUUGGAUGAGCCUAUGCCGGAUUAGCUGGUUGGUGAGGUAAUGGCUCACCAAGGCGACGAUCCGUAGCUGGUCUGAGAGGAUGAUCAGCCACAUCGGGACUGAGACACGGCCCGAACUCCUACGGGAGGCAGCAGUGGGGAAUAUUGGACAAUGGGGGCAACCCUGAUCCAGCCAUGCCGCGUGUGUGAAGAAGGCCCUCGGGUUGUAAAGCACUUUCAGCGAGGAAGAACGCCUGUCGGUUAAUACCCGGCAGGAAAGACAUCACUCGCAGAAGAAGCACCGGCUAACUCCGUGCCAGCAGCCGCGGUAAUACGGAGGGUGCAAGCGUUAAUCGGAAUUACUGGGCGUAAAGCGCGCGUAGGUGGCUUGAUAAGCCGGUUGUGAAAGCCCCGGGCUCAACCUGGGAACGGCAUCCGGAACUAUGAGGCUAGAGUGCAGGAGAGGAAGGUAGAAUUCCCGGUGUAGCGGUGAAAUGCGUAGAGAUCGGGAGGAAUACCAGUGGCGAAGGCGGCCUUCUGGACUGACACUGACACUGAGGUGCGAAAGCGUGGGUAGCAAACAGGAUUAGAUACCCUGGUAGUCCACGCCGUAAACGAUGUCGACCAGCCGUUGGGUGCCUAGCGCACUUUGUGGCGAAGUUAACGCGAUAAGUCGACCGCCUGGGGAGUACGGCCGCAAGGUUAAAACUCAAAUGAAUUGACGGGGGCCCGCACAAGCGGUGGAGCAUGUGGUUUAA